rnacentral:lncRNA from 1 species
UCAUUACAUAAUAAUACUGUUUGUAUUAAUAAAAUGCCCAAAACAUAAAACUAAUGCCAACUGGCUAACAUUAUCUUGCAGUGAUAAAUGAACAAAACAAUGCUGGUGGUGUCCACAUUAACACCUUUGCUUGUAGAAUCUUCCUGUGCUUUGGAAUCUGCUGCAUUAUCUCUCUAUUAUAUUGUAUCAACCUGACAGUGUAUAUCUGGAGCACUACUUCAUUCUUCAUCCGCAAAUUAGAAAACAUGUAUUAGCAACUCAAUUAACAUUUUAUAUAUCAACCUUAAAAGAAAACUUGUUUCAAGCAAACUAUAGAUCAAACCAAUUAACAAACUAAAAAGAGAAUGUUAGAUAACAGGGAUGAACUCAAUCAAUCAUCAACGAGUCAGUGACAACAUCAUUGAUGAUCUUGUGGUGAAUCCUAGUUUUAAGCAACUUAACUAUACUAGGACACUUCAAUAUAUAAAAACAUAGCUAUGUCAUAAUUAGUCAUAGAAGUUUAAGCUUAUCUCAAUGGGUAUGCAACCCAAGAAAACAUCAAUGAGUCAGUGACGUUAGUGACAACAUCACCGAUGAUAUUGCAUUGCAUCCUGUGAAAAUCAGCUUAACUAUUCUAGGACAUUUUAAUCUACAAAAACUUUCGUUAUGAGAGAAUUUGUGAAUAAGAACAUAAUCAAGACUAUCUUUGGAUGAACUGCAAAUUGGAAGUGAAUAAUUAGGAGACAGUGUUAUUUAUAAUGCCAGAUGGAGUGAGAGAUUGAGUCUCUAAUAAGUAGUGUCUAGGUCAACUAAUCAAUUAGUCUUGAAAAUUUAGCUGCUUUUGAUUUUUUGGUGGAUCAAGGAGAUGCAAUUCAUAAUAAGGUUAAAAAUUGGGGAUGCAUGUAUGUUUAAGACAAGUUAGUCAAAUAAGUGGCUCAGAUGACAAGUUAAUCAAAAAUACUUUAUGAAGACUAGCACAUGUGGCACACGCGAUGCGUGUGACAAAAAAAAUGUUGAACAAAAGAAAUUGUAACUUUUACAAAUAAAUUAAAUUUGAGGAAAGAAAAUUUUAUUUAUAAAUCAAAAGAAUGAAGUUGACGUAUCAUUAUUCUCACAAAAAAACCAUUAUACAAUUAACAAUAAAACUCAUUAAUUCAUGCUUGUGCAACUAAAAAGUAAAAACAAAAAAAAUUAUGCAACUAAAAAAUAAAUUAAUAUAUGAACUAUAUAACUGAAUAAAAAAUAUUUUUACCUAAAGUAGAAGAAUAGAAUAUUUUGGUAUAUAUUGGCUUCUGGUGACACAAUGGUGACUGAGCUUGUAUCACUAUUUUUGUUGCAAACACCACUGUCCAUUGCAUUUAUGGAUUAACAACAAAAAAACUAUUAAAAAGUAAGAAAUCACAUAGAAUACAACUAAAAGGUAUAGGAAAAUAAAUGUAAUUAC